rnacentral:rRNA from 1 species
UGGGGAAUAUUGGGCAAUGGGCGAAAGCCUGACCCAGCGACGCCGCGUGAGGGAAGAAGAUCUUCGGAUUGUAAACCUCUUUCAGCAGGGAAGAAGAAAGUGACGGUACCUGCAGAAGAAGCCACGGCUAACUACGUGCCAGCAGCCGCGGUAAUACGUAGGUGGCAAGCGUUAUCCGGAAUUACUGGGUGUAAAGGGUGUGUAGGCGGGAGAUCAAGUCAGAUGUGAAAAUCAUGAGCUCAACUCAUGACCUGCAUUUGAAACUGAUCUUCUUGAGUGUGGGAGAGGUAAGUGGAAUUCCUGGUGUAGCGGUGAAAUGCGUAGAUAUCAGGAGGAACACCGGUGGCGAAGGCGGCUUACUGGACCACAACUGACGCUGAGACACGAAAGCGUGGGGAGCAAACAGG